GACGAACGCUGGCGGCGUGCCUAAUACAUGCAAGUAGAACGCUGAAGGAGGAGCUUGCUUCUCUGGAUGAGUUGCGAACGGGUGAGUAACGCGUAGGUAACCUGCCUGGUAGCGGGGGAUAACUAUUGGAAGCGAUAGCUAAUACCGCAUAAUAGCAGUUAUUGCAUGAUAACUGUUUGAAAGGUGCAAUUGCACCACUACCAGAUGGACCUGCGUUGUAUUAGCUAGUUGGUGGGGUAACGGCUCACCAAGGCGACGAUACAUAGCCGACCUGAGAGGGUGAUCGGCCACACUGGGACUGAGACACGGCCCAGACUCCUACGGGAGGCAGCAGUAGGGAAUCUUCGGCAAUGGACGGAAGUCUGACCGAGCAACGCCGCGUGAGUGAAGAAGGUUUUCGGAUCGUAAAGCUCUGUUGUAAGAGAAGAACGAGUGUGAGAGUGGAAAGUUCACACUGUGACGGUAUCUUACCAGAAAGGGACGGCUAACUACGUG
rnacentral:rRNA from 1 species